rnacentral:rRNA from 1 species
UACGGUGGGUGCGAACGUUAAUCGGAAUUACUGGGCGUAAAGCGCGCGUAGGCGGUUCGGCAAGUGGGAUGUGAAAGCCCCGGGCUUAACCUGGGAAUUGCGUUCCAAACUACCGGGCUAGAGUAUGGUAGAGGGAGGUAGAAUUUCCUGUGUAGCGGUGAAAUGCGUAGAUAUAGGAAGGAAUACCGGUGGCGAAGGCGGCCUCCUGGACCAAUACUGACGCUGAGGUGCGAAAGCGUGGGGAGCAAACAGG